UAAGGAAUAUUGGACAAUGGUCGCAAGACUGAUCCAGCCAUGCCGCGUGCAGGAAGACGGCCCUAUGGGUUGUAAACUGCUUUUGUACCAGAGAAAACCUAUCUACGUGUAGAUAGCUGAUAGUAUGGUAAGAAUAAGCAUCGGCUAACUUCGUGCCAGCAGCCGCGGUAAGACGAAGGAUGCAAGCGUUAUCCGGAUUCAUUGGGUUUAAAGGGUGCGUAGGCGGGCUUGUAAGUCAGUGGUGAAAUCUCUCAGCUUAACUGAGAAACUGCCAUUGAUACUGCAGGCCUAGAGUAUAGAUGACGUUGGCGGAAUAUAACAUGUAGUGGUGAAAUACUUAGAUAUGUCAUAGAACACCGAUUGCGAAGGCAGCUAACGAAACUAUAACUGACGCUGAGGCACGAAAGUGCGGGGAUCAAACA
rnacentral:rRNA from 1 species